CGCAAACGUUGUCCCGAGUGUUUAGCGCUCUGCACAGCCACCCCAAACUGUCAGCAGGGAAUACGUCGAAAUGCAUGGACGUCAUUAUUUGACACUUUAGUAUGGUUAGGGUUAGGGUUAGGGUUAGGGUUAGGACGCUAAGGACGGUCAGUGGGACCCGACACACGUCACCUCAUCUCCGAGUCCAGUGGUGGUUUCAAAAUGCUUUUAAGCUGACUUUCCUGCAAAAUUAAUGUGUGUGUGUGUUUGUGUGUGUGUGUAUGUGUGCGUGUAUGUGUUCAUGUCUGUGUGUGUGUUUGCUUGUGGGUGUGUGUUUGUGUGUGUGUGUGUGUGUGUUAAUGUCUGUGUGCGUGUGUGCGUGCAUACGUACGUGUGUGUGUGUGUGGAUAGGUGUAACCUGCUUAACCCAUUCCCCGUAUACAACCCAGAUAGCUAGGUUAACCCAUUCCCCGUAUAUAACACAGAUAGCUAGGUUAACCCAUUCCCCGUAUAUAACACAGAUAGCUAGGUUAACCCAUUCCCCGUAUACACCACAGAUAGCUAGGUUAACCCAUUCCCUGUAUACAACACAGAUAGCUAGGUUAACCCAUUCCCCGUAUACACCACAGAUAGCUAGGUUAACCCAUUCCCCGUAUACACCACAGAUAGCUAGGUUAACCCAUUCCCCGUAUAUAACACAGAUAGCUAGGUUAACCCAUUCCUAGUUGAGUGGAGGAUUCAAAUGAAGCAGUUUGUGUUUUAGACGAAGCGUUGUACUGUAACCUGAAGAGAUGUCUAAC
ensembl:lncRNA